rnacentral:rRNA from 1 species
UGGGGAAUAUUGCACAAUGGGCGCAAGCCUGAUGCAGCCAUGCCGCGUGUGUGAAGAAGGCCUUCGGGUUGUAAAGCACUUUCAGCGGGGAGGAAGGCGUUAAGGUUAAUAACCUUGGCGAUUGACGUUACCCGCAGAAGAAGCACCGGCUAACCCCGUGCCAGCAGCCGCGGUAAUACGGAGGGUGCAAGCGUUAAUCGGAAUUACUGGGCGUAAAGCGCACGCAGGCGGUCUGUCAAGUCGGAUGUGAAAUCCCCGGGCUCAACCUGGGAACUGCAUUCGAAACUGGCAGGCUAGAGUCUUGUAGAGGGGGGUAGAAUUCCAUGUGUAGCGGUGAAAUGCGUAGAGAUGUGGAGGAAUACCGGUGGCGAAGGCGGCCCCCUGGACAAAGACUGACGCUCAGGUGCGAAAGCGUGGGGAGCAAACAGG